CACAACAAUAACAAAUAUUCCCAAAGUGAGGAAUUUUUUAGUCUUUAAUACAUUCUACUCAUCUGAAGAGUAUAAAAUCACGUAUGUGUCAUUGUCCACAAUGAAAGAGUCCAAUGAACUUCAGGGUCGGAUACGUCCUAUAUCAUGGAUUGAAUGACAUUUUGCAAUGAAUUAUCAAUCGAACAUGACGCAUUGGAUUCAUAUCAUAUGGAAUGAUGUAGCAGGAUAGUAACUACGGAAGAAUGGGGAACCUAUUUAAUAAAUUGAAAAAAAUGGGGAUCAAUACGGAUUUGAAUUUCCCUAGAAAUUGUCUUAAUAAGAAUGAUAAUAUAGUCUCAUCUUCUGUUUAAAUUAAAUAAAACCCUUUGAUUUUUGGAUCUCAAUGUGAUAAAUCUUAACAAAAGUUCAUCAUCACAAUGAAGUAAUUAUAAAUUAAUUGAUUUUAUGAACGUGAAAGGUCAUAUCGGAUUCCAAUACAGUCUUAUAACUCAAAUGAAGAUUCUAAACUACAUAAAGUUAACAUUCUUAUUGGUUAGUAUAUAAACUCAUCCCGAAAAUUUGAGUACAAAGCCUAUCAUUGACAUUUGAAUGACACUUGGAUCCUUACAACGCUGGUCUUUCUUGUAAUAUGGAAUUACUUUUUUGGAGUUAGCUAGGUAUGAAAGUGAACAACGACUCAUUCGGACAGGGAUGUUUAUUUUUUUCUUCUAAAUAGGAGUUUACUUAUUAAUAAUUCAAUCUAUCUACAACACUUAUUUCAAGUACGUAAGUACUUGAGGUCAAUAACAUACAAAGAAAAGAAGUAAGACUGCUACAAGAAAGGUUAAAGAAAGAAAAAACGUAAUAGCUCUUACAUGUAUUGACAUUCCAGUUUUUGUUUUUUCUUCAAGAUAUUAUUUCUUAAAUAAAUUUAUAUUAAGAAGUGAAAAUAAAUACUUGUAAGUGAA
rnacentral:lncRNA from 1 species